UUUCUAAGUUUACAAGUAAGUUUUUUUUAUUUCAAGCAAAUUAUUCAUUAUGAAAAUGCAACAGAAAACACUUUAACCGCACAGGAUGUGCCAGAAGAUGAAGUAAAGAAAUUAGGAGCAGAAAAAAUGGACCUCCAAAUAUAUGAGGCGGGAUCAAAUGCAAUGGAUGACCAAGCAUCGUUUGUCGACCGACGCCCUUGGCUCCCUGUAGUUAGUUGAAAGCAGUAAAUACUGACAAUGUUCAGAACUCUCCACCCACUAAUUAAUUAACGAAGGAAACUUAUAGCCUGGUGUGGACAUGUGGGGUGACGAUAAAAACAAUAAUGAAUGAAGGCCUCUCUAAAUAUGAACUUGAAAAGUGUUCUCUAUGUCGGGAUAAAGCUGAAUUUUACUGCAACACUUGUAAACAAAAUCUAUGCGCUCCUUGUGAGAUGAAACAUUUGAGAAAUCUUUAUACGAAAUACCAUAAUGUAGUAAAUUACCGGGCAAAGGCUGGAGACUUUAUAAUACCAGAAAAAUGUGGUACACAUCCGAACAAGAUGUUUAAAUGUUGGUGCCAUUCAUGUGAACAACCAAUAUGUUUUGCAUGCAUUGGGCAUGGAAAUCAUGAAAUAUCUGAUAUACGUUUCGUAUAUAAAGAGUAUAGACAAAAAUACAGAGAUACAAUUGUUAAUAUCAGAAGUGAUAUCCUCUUAUUUGAAACUGAUAUACUGGAAUCACUCAAAACUAGUGUCAAUACAAAUAUAAACACUUUAAGAAAAAUGAAGCAAAAAAUUACAAAACAAGCUCAGAGACUGAAAAUUGAUAUGGAUGCAAUUAUAUCGAAAAGAGUUUAUUAUUUGAGAUGUAUGAUGAAACAAAAGG